rnacentral:rRNA from 1 species
UACCAGCACCCCGAGUGGUCGGGACGUUUAUUGGGCCUAAAGCAUCCGUAGCCGGUUCUACAAGUCUUCCGUUAAAUCCAACUGCUUAACAGGUGGGCUGCGGAGGAUACUAUGGAGCUAGGAGGCGGGAGAGGCAAGCGGUACUCGAUGGGUAGGGGUAAAAUCCGUUGAUCCAUUGAAGACCACCAGUGGCGAAGGCGGCUUGCCAGAACGCGCUCGACGGUGAGGGAUGAAAGCUGGGGGAGCAAACCGG